rnacentral:lncRNA from 12 species
AUAAAAAGGGAGUUGGAAACAUCUUUUAGAUUCCAGUUGCUUUUGAAAUCUCACUGGGAGGAAUGGGUUGAAGAAGAGCUGUGGUGCUACACAACAUGGGGACCUCAUCUCAGUUGUGUGUUCAGGGUAGAUUUUUCUCCAGCCAAGUGCUCUGUUCCAGUGGUCUGGCAGGAACUCGACAAUACUGGGGAUUUUACUGUCAAGUACAUGUAAAACACAAACAGUGUUUGUGCAAGGGGGCCCUGUAAUGCCAGUCACUCCAAACCUUGCUUUUUUUUUGGAAAAUGCUUGGCUUGGACAGGAAGAGCUUACCAAACAGAUUGAUCCCACCUUCUGUUGAGACAGGGCUCUGCUGUGGGUGCUUCGGGAGCAAAAAAUCAGAGCAGUUUUCCUAUAGACUAAUGCAAAAAUGUAAAAAAUGGACAUGCGAGGUGUCUGCAGCCAGAGGGGAUGUCUCUGUGUGUCUGGUGGUCUGCUGGGAGCACUGCAUAGUUAUGGUCCUGCUCGUCUGGCAACUUCAGCUAAGGCUGCCCAGGACUUGUUUGCAUCUCAGAGUGGGGAAGGUGAAUUUUUUGUGAGUCAGUUUUGGGAGAGGUGAACCUGUUGGUUUGCAGUCCCCAGCCUCUUGGAAAUGUCUUAUUUGCCAAGGUUUGAGGAAAGAUCUGUGGGAAGAAGCUUCUUACAGAAAGUAAGAAGUUUGCUGCAAUUACAUGGCCUUUGAUUUUUUUUUUUUUUUCCCAUUAAGGAAUGAAACUGAAUAAAAUUUAGUUAUAUUUCCUUGGCAUUUCCUCUGCAACAGUUCAUUUAUUAUGUAUAAAUAGUGUUAUGUAUUCCAGGUAAUUUAUAUAAUUACUGUGCCAUUAAGUGUGUCUAGUUAGAAUCAACAAAAUUAGAAAUCUGAGUGUCUGCAGUAGUGGUUGCCUGGCUAUGUUAUAUCCUGGAUGGGAUUCCCAUAUGAGGUUCUUCCUUUCUCUUUUUUUUUUUUUUUUUUUUUUUUUUUUUUUUUUUUUUGUGUGUGUG